rnacentral:rRNA from 1 species
GAUGAACGCUAGCGGCAGGCUUAACACAUGCAAGUCGAGGGGCAGCAUAGGGUAGCAAUACUCUGAUGGCGACCGGCAAACGGGUGAGUAACGCGUAUGCAACCUACCCUGUACAGGGGGAUAACCCGGAGAAAUUCGGACUAAUAUCCCGUAAUAAUAUCCGGAGGCAUCUUUGGAUAUUUAAAGUUCCGACGGUACGGGAUGGGCAUGCGUAACAUUAGCUGGUUGGUAAGGUAACGGCUUACCAAGGCUAUGAUGUUUAGGGGUCCUGAGAGGGUGGUCCCCCACACUGGUACUGAGACACGGACCAGACUCCUACGGGAGGCAGCAGUGAGGAAUAUUGGUCAAUGGGCGCAAGCCUGAACCAGCCAUCCCGCGUGCAGGAAGACGGCCCUAUGGGUUGUAAACUGCUUUUCCAGGGAGAGAAACUUACGCACGUGUUGCGUGACUGACGGUACCCUGGGAAUAAGCAUCGGCUAACUCCGUG